rnacentral:misc_RNA from 1 species
GAUGAAGAACGUAGCGAAAUGCGAUACGUAAUGUGAAUUGCAGAAUUCAGUGAAUCAUCGAAUCUUUGAACGCAUAUUGCGCUCUCUGGUAUUCCGGAGAGCAUGCUUGUUUGAGUAUCAGUAAACACCUCAACUUCCAUAUCUUUUUUGAAAUGGGAGUUGGACUUGAGUGAUCCCAACGCUUUUCCUCACCGAAAAGUGGCGGGUUACUUGAAAUGCAGGUGCAGCUGGACUUUUCUCUGAGCUUAUAAGCAUAUCUAUUUAGUCUGCCUAAAAAACAGAUUAUUACCUUUGCUGCAGCUAACAUAAAGGAGAUUAGUUCUUGUGCUGACUGAUGCAGGAUUCACAAAGACAGGCUUCGGCCGACUUUGUAAACUCGAUCUCAAAUCAAGUAAGACUACCCGCUGAACUUAAGCAUAUCAAUACGCGGAGGA